ACACGCCGCCCUCGUAGUUGAAGAGAAUUUGACCAUAUAUGUCUUUCCAAUCUAGAUAAUAGUUGAAGAAUCACACUAUUAGAAUUCUUAUCUUUAACGACAACCCAAUAACGACAACACAAAAAACAUGUCGUGAGAAGCCUUAUUAUGUCAUACUAGUAACGACAAAUCCGGUUAGUUGUCGUUAGCAUUGAACUUUACAAAUUAAAAAGAAAAAAAACAUAUAUUUGUUCGUCGUUAAUCCCAAUAAACCUAUAACGAUGGGUAUCAAGUAUUUGAACCACAUGAAAAUUGAGUAAAACACCCCUUGCAAAAGGUAGCAAAGGCGCCGUUUCUCAAACCUUUACCUGAUAAUUUGAUGAUAUAGAUUGGUUCAAAAACAACCAACUCGAUAUCCAACAUCUGAAGAAUGGAGCAUCGAAAAUCAAAAUCAAGGCCAUCGUUUUGGGAGCACAUCAGAUCUCUCGUCGUUUUCAUACUGUUCAAAACGGAUGCAUCACUGCAGCAAGAUGAGAAGGUGGGAUUGGGAGCUGUUGUCAGGGAUGAAACGGGAAUGUGCUACUGAUUGCAGGAAGGAGUAUGGUGGGGGCUCCGGGGCUGUCAGUGGUGGAAGCCGAAGCUGCUACUGUUUUGUUUGGUCUAAGACUCACCUAUGAUGCUGGCUACAAAUAUAUAGAGGUAGAGAUGGACUGUCUUCACCUGGUCUUAAUGUUGCAGGGGAAGAGGAAGGAGGCGACGAGAGUGCAGAUGAGGGUAAAUGAUAUUGCUGCAUAUGUCAGUAGUUUUUAUGAUUGCAACUCCAUUUUGAUACUAGAAAAUGUAAUAAAGUGGCACAUACAAUGGCUAGAACCUCCCUCUCUUUUGAUGAGGAACUUCUCUGGUAUGAUGAAUCCCCACCAAACAUUUUACCCCUUGUUCUGAUGGAAAAGAGUUUGAUUAAAUGAUAACUACGUAUUUUACCCAUAAAAAAAAAAAAACCUGCUAUUCAUUUUCUUCUUGAAUUUCAUAAUUAGUGAUUUACUGGGCAUGUGUGUUAAUUGACAUAAACUUUUCGCACUAGUUUACAUGUUGCAGCAGAUUAGUUAUAUUCUUAUAAGUUUGGGUGUAGUUGGAUGUUGAAUGUGCUUAAUAGUACCUUUGAGUUUAGUCAUAUUAUUGAUUAUUGAUCCUAAUAAGUUCAUAUUUUUCUAGUUUGGUUAUGCCCACAAACAAUUCUAUUAUUGGUGUGAUUAUUGUGUCUCUUAGGAUGUAUUUUUUAAGUUUGUUUCUUCAACUUGUUUCUAGCUGCACCAUUACCUUUAAAUUUAUUUCCUAUAUUUGAUGGAAAAUUUACUUAUGUGCAUAUGGCAAAACUUAUGUUGCAUAGAGUAGCUUCAUUUAAAAGGGUUUCACUUAUAGGAAAAUGUAUGUCAAAUUUUAUUUUUCUAAUUUAUUUCUCUUAAUGCCUUGUAAUAGUAAUAACAGAUGUGUGUGUUUUUUUAGUAUGCGGGGGUCUGUGUAUGUGUGCAGGACUUAUGGCAGAGGCAUGCAAAUGUGCAAGCUGUUGUGAUGGGCUGAAGCUUAAUUGGUGUGUGCGUGCGAGGCUUGCAGGGGAAACCUAAAUCAUUUGAUGUACUCAUUAAGUUAUGUAUUUCUAGGAUACCGUAGGAUGGAACUAAGUGCUAGAUGUUCUUUUUUCUUUCUUACUAUUAAGGGAAAUUUUGCGAGAAAUUGAUUUUGUGUUGCCA